GAUGAACGCUGGCGGCGUACCUAAUACAUGCAAGUCGAGCGAACAGACGAGGAGCUUGCUCCUCUGACGUUAGCGGCGGACGGGUGAGUAACACGUGGAUAACCUACCUAUAAGACUGGGAUAAAUUCGGGAAACCGGAGCUAAUACCGGAUAAUAUAUUGAACCGCAUGGUUCAAUAGUGAAAGACGGUUUUGCUGUCACUUAUAGAUGGAUCCGCGCCGCAUUAGCUAGUUGGUAAGGUAACGGCUUACCAAGGCGACGAUGCGUAGCCGACCUGAGAGGGUGAUCGGCCAAACUGGAACUGAGAAACGGUCCAGACUCCUACGGGAGGCAGCAGUAGGGAAUCUUCGGCAAUGGGCGAAAGCCUGACGGAGCAACGCCGCGUGAGUGAUGAAGGUCUUCGGAUCGUAAAACGCUGUUAUUAGGGAAGAACAAAUGUGUAAGUAACUAUGCACGUCUUGACGGUACCUAAUCAGAAAGCCACGGCUAACUACGUG
rnacentral:rRNA from 1 species